rnacentral:rRNA from 1 species
AGUGAACGCUGGCGGCGUGCUUAACACACGCAAGUCGAACGGAUGAAAUAAGCUUGCUUAUUUCGUUAGUGGCGCACGGGUGAGUAAUGUAUAGCUAACCUGCCCUUUAGUGGGGGACAACAGUUGGAAACGACUGCUAAUACCCCAUACUCCUUCUUAUCUAAAGAUAAGUUGGGAAAGAUUUAUUGCUAAAGGAUGGGGCUUUAUGGUAUCAGCUAGUUGGUGGGGUAACGGCCUACCAAGGCGAUGACGCCUACCUGGUCUGAGAGGAUGAUCAGGAACACUGGAACUGAGACACGGUCCAGACUCCUACGGGAGGCAGCAGUGGGGAAUAUUGCACAAUGGAGGAAACUCUGAUGCAGCAACGCCGCGUGGAGGAUGACGCAUUUCGGUGUGUAAACUCCCUUUAUAAGGGAAGAUAAUGACGGUACCUUAUGAAUAAGCACCGGCUAACUCCGUGCCAGCCGCCGCCGUAA